rnacentral:rRNA from 1 species
GACGAACGUUGGCGGCGUGCUUAAUACAUGCAAGUCAACUGAGGCACCGGUAGUAAUACUGGUGUGGAGGUGGCGCACGGGUGAGUAACACGUAGGUAAUCUGCCUUUAGGUCUGACAUAACCCCGAGAAAUCGGGGCUAAUAGCAGAUGAUGCAGCGGCUUGACAUCAAGACAGUUGUUAAAGCUUCGGCGCCUGAAGAUGAGCCUGCGUCUGAUUAGCUAGUUGGCGGAGUAACAGCCCACCAAGGCUACGAUCAGUAGCUGGUCUGAGAGGAUGAUCAGCCACACUGGAACUGAGACACGGUCCAGACUCCUACGGGAGCAGCAGUAAGAAUAUUGCUCAAUGGGAGAAAUCCUGAAGCAG